AGCGAACGCUGGCGGCAGGCUUAACACAUGCAAGUCGAGCGGGCACUUCGGUGUCAGCGGCAGACGGGUGAGUAACACGUGGGAACGUGCCCUUCGGUUCGGAAUAACUCAGGGAAACUUGAGCUAAUACCGGAUACGCCCUUUGGGGGAAGGUUUACUGCCGAAGGAUCGGCCCGCGUCUGAUUAGCUAGUUGGUGGGGUAAGUGGCCUACCAAGGCGACGAUCAGUAGCUGGUCUGAGAGGAUGAUCAGCCACACUGGGACUGAGACACGGCCCAGACUCCUACGGGAGGCAGCAGUGGGGAAUAUUGGACAAUGGGCGCAAGCCUGAUCCAGCCAUGCCGCGUGAGUGAUGAAGGCCUUAGGGUUGUAAAGCUCUUUCGACGGGGACGAUAAUGACGGUACCGUA
rnacentral:rRNA from 1 species